CGCGUAGGCGGCAUGCACAGUCAGAUGUGAAAUUCCUGGGCUCAACCUGGGGACUGCAUUUGAUACGUGUAAGCUAGAGUGGAGAAGAGGGUUGUGGAAUUUCCAGUGUAGAGGUGAAAUUCGUAGAUAUUGGAAAGAACACCGGUGGCGAAGGCGGCAACCUGGUCUUUAACUGACGCUGAGGCGCGAAAGCGUGGGGAGCAAACA
rnacentral:rRNA from 1 species